CUUCUUGGGGGUCCGGCCCCCAAGGAGACUGUCUGGUAAAACUCUGGCCCUCUGACAAAUAUAGUUGAUGACCCCUGACGUAUCGCUCUUACUCUCCUCACUGAGCAGCGGGUGCUGCCGUGGGUUCCGCUCCCAUCUCAAAGCAUUCACAGGUGGACAGUCCUCACGCAGCAGCCCCGCCCAGCUGCAGUCAGAACAGGAGAUGUUCACCUUUCCGUGUCCAGACUGCAAAUGAAUCACGCAUGCGCAAAGCCACCACUGGCUGAUCCUGCUCUGGCUCAUUGCCAAAGACUCUGCCAAGUAAACGGUUAAAUGACAGUUUUCAAGAAUAAGUAACUCCGCCAGAGUGUCUCUUUGGGAACACUUUUGCCAGUCCCAAGCCCGGAUAUAGGAGGAGGGUUGGAAUUGUGAUAUAAAAAAACAAGAAUCGACAGAAGAAAGUUCAUUUGUAGUUCUAAAUGUAUUUAGGGUGUUUUUUAACCACCCUUUGUCUCUCCAACGACAUUACUCCUCUCUCCUACAGCAUCCAUUAUAAUUGCAUGCACAUUAUGCAAAUUAGGCGAUGGCGUCAUUUAGCGACUUCUAGUGACUUUUGGGACAACCAAUAGCGACUUUCCUUGCUGAGGAGUUGCCAAUAGUGAGACUGGCUUGACUUCAAGAAGACGAGACAUUAAACAUUGACCCAGAGCCAAUACACAUAUACUGUUAAGUUGCUUGUAAUUAUUACGAGCAAUGACAUCGGUAGAGGCGUAAGUCAGUAUAUCUACUAUUCUUUUACAAAAUGGCACACCCCAGACGUUCAGACAAACCAUUGUAGGUGAUGCUUGACCCAAAUCAGCCACCGGACCCGCAAACAUACCUGGGGUGUCCCCAAUUGGUUUCCAUAGAUUUCUGAAGACUGGCACACACAGAGAUCAUCACAACCCAAACUAAGUGGUUAUUAUCAAAAGAUGGUGAAGUGCCUGGAUUGACGGACAGAUGGCAGAGGGAGCACAACUGCAUGGGUAAUGCCAUAAAACCUUCAAAAAGCCUUUUAUUCCAAUUAAAUUAAUCAAACUAAGCAUUAAAUAACUACAUGCCACCACCACUAACUACUGGUGAAUAUUUGCCUUCACAAAUAAGUUUUUAUUCAUUCGUUAUUUUAGCAAAGCCCAAAGCUAAUUAAUGGGCAGAAAACACAUUACAGGGACCAAUUAUCUGACGUCGCCUGUCUGCAUCUGGCUGUCAGUCGAUGAAAACCUGAUCUGUUUACACUAGGCUUUAUCUGAAGAGCAGAUCAACCCGGACAUUCACUUGGGCUUUAUAAUGAGCACUCUAUAUUCAGCAUUAAAGGAGCAUAGUCUUCCUUCAUUACAGCACUUUCACAACCCUCAUAUAGAAAUUAUCCAGUAUUAAUUGAACAAUCCGACAAUGGACAGGAAAGAGUGGUGAACCACUGAAAUGGUAUUUUCAGACCCCCCCAUUUUUAAUGAACACAACACACUUCUGAGCAAAACGACCAACACCACAAAUGUCCCUGUCACAGUGUCUGGCAACCAUGUAAAACACCCAGAAUGCAAUGUUCUCCCAGAAUGUUUUCGCUGACUAACUAGAGCCAAGCCCAGGCGGCAGGCAAACCGGCAUAACCGACCGCCUGCUAGUCGCCUAGAGU